GACGAACGCUGGCGGCGUGCCUAAUACAUGCAAGUCGAACGCAGGGGGGACGGGUGAGUAACACGUGGGUAACCUCCCAUCAGAGGGGAUAACACUUGGAAACAGGCGCUAAACCCCUACGGAUGGAGGGACCCGGGGGGCAUUUGCUAGUCGGUGGGGUAACGUCCCACCAAGGCCACGAUGCAUAGCCGUCCUGAGAGGGUGGUCAGCCACACUGGGACUGAGACACGGCCCAGACUCCUACGGGAGGCAGCAGUGGGGAAUAUUCGACAAUGGACGCAAGUCUGACCAAGCCAUGCCGCGUGAGUGAAGAAGGUUUUCGGAUCGUAAAGCUCUGUUGUUGGAGAAGCGGUAGCUAACCAGAAAGCCACGGCUAACUACGUGCCAGCAGCCGCGGUAAUUC
rnacentral:rRNA from 1 species